GAUGAACGCUGGCGGCGUGCCUAAUACAUGCAAGUCGAGCGAACAGACGAGGAGCUUGCUCCUCUGACGUUAGCGGCGGACGGGUGAGUAACACGUGGAUAACCUACCUAUAAGACUGGGAUAACUUCGGGAAACCGGAGCUAAUACCGGAUAACAUGUUGAACCGCAUGGUUCAACAGUGAAAGACGGUCUUGCUGUCACUUAUAGAUGGAUCCGCGCCGCAUUAGCUAGUUGGUAAGGUAACGGCUUACCAAGGCAACGAUGCGUAGCCGACCUGAGAGGGUGAUCGGCCACACGGGAACUGAGACACGGUCCAGACUCCUACGGGAGGCAGCAGUAGGGAAUCUUCCGCAAUGGGCGAAAGCCUGACGGAGCAACGCCGCGUGAGUGAUGAAGGUCUUCGGAUCGUAAAACUCUGUUAUUAGGGAAGAACAAAUGUGUAAGUAACUAUGCACGUCUUGACGGUACCUAAUCAGAAAGCCACGGCUAACUACGUG
rnacentral:rRNA from 1 species